rnacentral:rRNA from 1 species
CCGCACUAGUGAUUUUCCGGUUGAUCCCGCCGGACCUGACUGCUAUCGGAUUGAUACUAAGCCAUGCGAGUCAUUGUAGUAAUACAAGGCAGACGGCUCAGUAACGCGUAGUCAACCUACCCUGUGGACGGGGAUAACCUCGGGAAACUGAGAAUAAUACCCGAUAGAACAUUAUGCCUGGAAUGGUUUAUGUUUCAAAUAAUUUAUUGCCGUAGGAUGGGACUGCGUCCUAUCAGUUUGUUGGUGAGGUAAUGGCCCACCAAGACUAUUACAGGUACGGGCUCUGAGAGGAGUAGCCCGGAGAUGGGUACUGAGACACGGACCCAGGCCCUAUGGGGCGCAGCAGGCGAGAAAACUUUGCAAUGUGCGAAAGCACGACAAGGUUAAUCCGAGUGGUUUCUGCUAAAGGAACCUUUUGCCAGUCCUAGAAACACUGAUGAAUAAGGGGUGGGCAAGUUCUGGUGUCAGCCGCCGCGGUAAAACCAGCACCUCAAGUGGUCAGGAUGAUUAUUGGGCCUAAAGCAUCCGUAGCCUGCUUUGUAAGUUUUCGGUUAAAUCCAUACACUCAACGUAUGGGCUGCCGGGAAUACUGCAAAGCUAGGGAGUGGGAGAGGUAGACGGUACUCGGUAGGAAGGGGUAAAAUCCUUUGAUCUAUUGAUGACCACCUGUGGCGAAGGCGGUCUACCAGAACACGUCCGACGGUGAGGGAUGAAAGCUGGGGGAGCAAACCGGAUUAGAUACCCGGGUAGUCCCAGCUGUAAACUAUGCAAACUCAGUGAUGCAUUGGCUUGAUGCCAAUGCAGUGCUGCAGGGAAGCCGUUAAGUUUGCCGCCUGGGAAGUACGUACGCAAGUAUGAAACUUAAAGGAAUUGGCGGGGGAGCACCACAAGGGGUGAAGCCUGCGGUUCAAUUGGAUUCAACGCCGGA